UACGUAGGGUGCGAGCGUUGUCCGGAAUUAUUGGGCGUAAAGAGCUCGUAGGCGGCUUGUCACGUCGGGUGUGAAAGCCCGGGGCUUAACCCCGGGUCUGCAUUCGAUACGGGCUAGCUAGAGUGUGGUAGGGGAGAUCGGAAUUCCUGGUGUAGCGGUGAAAUGCGCAGAUAUCGGGAAGAACACCCGUGGCGAAGGCGGUUCUCUGGGACGGUACUGACGCUGAGGCGCGACAGCGUGGGGAGCAAACAGG
rnacentral:rRNA from 1 species